rnacentral:rRNA from 1 species
CCUACGGGAGGCAGCAGUGGGGAAUUUUGGACAAUGGGCGCAAGCCUGAUCCAGCAAUGCCGCGUGCAGGAUGAAGGCCUUCGGGUUGUAAACUGCUUUUGUACGGAGCGAAACGGUCUGCUUUAAUACAGUGGGCUAAUGACGGUACCGUAAGAAUAAGCACCGGCUAACUACGUGCCAGCAGCCGCGGUAAUACGUAGGGUGCAAGCGUUAAUCGGAAUUACUGGGCGUAAAGCGUGCGCAGGCGGUUAUAUAAGACAGAUGUGAAAUCCCCGGGCUCAACCUGGGACCUGCAUUUGUGACUGUAUAGCUAGAGUACGGUAGAGGGGGAUGGAAUUCCGCGUGUAGCAGUGAAAUGCGUAGAUAUGCGGAGGAACACCGAUGGCGAAGGCAAUCCCCUGGACCUGUACUGACGCUCAUGCACGAAAGCGUGGGGAGCAAACAGGAUUAGAUACCCUGGUAGUCCACGCCCUAAACGAUGUCAACUGGUUGUUGGGUCUUCACUGACUCAGUAACGAAGCUAACGCGUGAAGUUGACCGCCUGGGGAGUACGGCCGCAAGGUUGAAACGUUAAAUGAAUUGACGG